GCUUGUCUCAAGAUUAAGCCAUGCAUGUCUAAGUAUAAGCACUUAUACCGUGAAACUGCGAAUGGCUCAUUAUAUCAGUUAUAGUUUAUUUGAUAGUUCCUACUACUUGGAUAACCGUAGUAAUUCUAGAGCUAAUACAUGCGACAACCCCUGACUGCUUGCAGAAAGGGCGUAUUUAUUAGAUACAACCAACCCUUCGGGUCCCUGGUGAAUCAUAAUAACUUAGCGAACCGCAUGCUUCGGCGGCGGUGAUUCAUUCAAGUUUCUGCCCUAUCAGCUUUGGAUGGUAGGAUAUGGGCCUACCAUGGCAUUAACGGGUAACGGGGAAUUAGGGUUUGAUUCCGGAGAGGGAGCCUUAGAAACGGCUACCACAUCCAAGGAAGGCAGCAGG
rnacentral:rRNA from 1 species